rnacentral:rRNA from 1 species
GAUGAACGCUGGCGGCGUGCCUAAUACAUGCAAGUCGAGCGAACGGACGAGAAGCUUGCUUCUCUGAUGUUAGCGGCGGACGGGUGAGUAACACGUGGAUAACCUACCUAUAAGACUGGGAUAACUUCGGGAAACCGGAGCUAAUACCGGAUGAUAUUUUGAACCGCAUGGUUCAAAAGUGAAAGACGGUCUUGCUGUCACUUAUAGAUGGAUCCGCGCUGCAUUAGCUAGUUGGUAAGGUAACGGCCUACCAAGGCAACGAUGCAUAGCCGACCUGAGAGGAUGAUCAGCCACACUGGAACUGAGACACGGUCCAGACUCCUACGGGAGGCAGCAGUGGGGAAUAUUGUACAAUGGGCGCAAGCCUGAUCCAGCAAUACCGCGUGGGUGAAGAAGGCCUUCGGGUUGUAAAGCCCUUUUGUUGGGAAAGAAAAGCAGCAGGUUAAUACCCCGCUGUUCUGACGGUACCCAAAGAAUAAGCACCGGCUAACUUCGUG